AUUGAACGCUGGCGGCAGGCCUAACACAUGCAAGUCGAGCGAGCGGCGGACGGGUGAGUAAUGUCUGGGAAACUGCCUGAUGGAGGGGGAUAACUACUGGAAACGGUAGCUAAUACCGCAUACAAUCAGAUGUGCCCAGAUGGGAUUAGCUAGUAGGUGGGAUAACGCCGCACCUAGGCGAAGAUACCAAGCGGGUCUGAGAGGAUGUCCAGCCACACUGGAAAUAAUACAUGGUCCAGAAUCCUACGGUAGGCAGCAGGGGGGAAUAUUGCACAAUGGGCACAAGCCUGAUGGAGCCAUGCCGGGUGUGUGAAGAAGGCCUUCGGGUUGUAAAGCACUUUCAGCGGGGAGGCGUUACCCGCAGAAGAAGCACCGGCUAACUCCGUGCCAGCAGCCGCGGUAAUUC
rnacentral:rRNA from 1 species